rnacentral:lncRNA from 1 species
GCGGCUGACAUCUCCAUAGUCUUGAACAGUCUUCUUUGUUUGGUUUUUCUCUUCCUGCGUCCAUGGAAUCAGAAUUUGCUGGUCUAUCCCUUGAUGAAGAAGAAGAAGAAAUCCUGCGAGUACAAGUUGAUUCAGAUUCGGUAAGCGAAGAAGAAGCUCUUAGUCUGGUUGGAUGUUUUCUUACAGCCAGUAUCAUCCAUUACCCAGCAAUGAAAAGCACCAUGGCUAAUUUAUGGCAUCCUGUCAGGGGUGUUCAAAUUAGAGAUCUAGGGGGAAAAAAGAUAUUUAUUUAAAUUUUUUCAUAUUAUAGAUAUGGAAAGAGUUCUAAAAGGGUCACCCUAGACAUUCAAUAAUCAUCUUUUGGUUUUGCACAAGUUAUAAUGGAGGGAGGAUCCACUAAGAGUUCCAUUAAUCUCAACACAUUUCUGGGUACAAGUUCAUGAUGUGCCCAUUAGUUAUUAUUCAGAAAAUUUGGCUAUACAAUUAGGAAAUUUUAUUGGAAUUUUCCAAGAGUAUGAUGGCUCAAGUUUGGGGAAAGAAAAUAUGAAUUUUAUACGAAUAAGAGUUCAAAUUGAUAUUCGACGCCCUCUUAAAAGGAAGAAACAAGUCAUGUUUAAAAGCAAAUGCUCUUAUGUUAGAUUUAAGUAUGAAAGACUAACUCUUUUUUGCUUCUAUUGUGUUCGUUUAGGCCAUAAUGACUCCUUUUGUGAAGCGAAGAUGGAGGCAGGUGUUGAAGUUGAUGAGAUGGCAUGAGAUUUGUCUUUGCGUGCACAGUCAAGAAGAGCCCAAGCAAUGAGUAGUGUUUGGUUAAGGGAGGAAGGAGGAUCUGUGGGUAGAAUUAGUAGAAGGGAUGUUUUAAGGGGAAAUAGUAAAUGAGGAAGUGUAAGAAAAUUUGAGGGCAUUGUUGACCCUAUUUUAGGUUUUAACCUGGAAGGUAAAAGGUCUUCCUCACGACCAGGGAGGGUUAGAACUUUAAUUGAUAAUAGUCAAAUGGCUAUGGAUCAUGAUCUGGAGAAUGAAGUGGUUAUAGAGGAGGAGGGGAAAAAGAGAGCGAGAGAGCAUAUAGAAGAAAGUAGUAACAUGGAAGGGAGAAACAGGAGAAUUCUGAAGUUAAUCAUUUGUUAUCGGUGCCUGCCAAGAGGCAAGCCGAUCAGUCGAAAUGAAAAUUUUAAGUUGGAACGUCCGAGGUUUGGGGAAUCCUCGAAUAGUUCGAAGGCUUCGGCACUCGCUGAAGUUACACUAUCCCCAAGUGAUCUUCUUUAUGGAGACAAAAAUAAACAAAAAAUGGAUGGAAAAAGUUUGAAAAAGUUAUGGUUUUCAGUUUGGAAUUGAUGUUGAUUCGAUUGGCUCUAGAGUGGACUAAGCCUAGCAUGGAGAGGGAAUGUUAGUAUAAUGUUACAAAGCUUUUCAAAUCGUUAUAUUGAUGUGAUUAUUGAGGAAGGAGGAGAUGACAAAAAGUGGAUAUUUAUAGGCUUUUAUGGUUCUCCUUACUCACAUAUAAGGACGAAUCAUAGAGUCUGUUGAGACAAUUAAAAAAUCAUGGAGAAUACCAUGGCUGGUUUGUGGGGAUUUUAAUGAAAUAUUAUAUGGUUUUGAGAAGAAAGGUGGAUUACCUAGAGAGGAAAGAAGGAUGGAAGCUUUUCGCAAGGUGUUAGAAGAUUGCAAUCUGGUGGAUAUGGGUUAUUCAGGUAAUUGGUUUACUCGGGAGAGAGGAAAUUUGCCAGAAACAAAUAUCCAGGAAAGAUUGGACAGGGGAGUAGCUACGGAACAAUGGAGCUUUUUAUUCCCACAUUCUUUAAUUCAGCACCUCCCACAUUCAUUUUCAGAUCAUUGUCCACUUCUUAUUGAUACAGAUUACAAAGUUAGAAGGCUGGUAAAAAAGAAUUUCAAGUUUGAAGCGUGGUGGGUUUUGGAAGAAACAUUUUUUGAUGAAACUAAACGUGUUUGGGAAAAUUCCACAGGAGAAUUUGUGAAUGAGCUGGAUAACUUAAAAAGAGGUUUAGAAAGGUGGGGAAUUCAAAUUCGACAGAGUAAAAAGAUGAAAACAGAGGUUUUAACCUCAAAGUUGGCAACAUUACUAGAAUCUGACAGAAGUGAUGAGAAUCUGGCGGAGAUUAUUGACACAAAAAUCCAUCUGAAUUUUAAGAUUGAAAAGGAUGAAAGCUAUUGGGAACAGAGGGCCCGAAUAAAUUGGUUGAAACUUGGAGACAGAAAUACAGCUUUCUUUCACAAACAAGCGGCACAAAGAAGGAAACAAAAUCGAAUCCAUAGGAUGCAGUUUAAAGAUGUCAGUGAGACAGAGGAGUGUAAGGAGAUGGAGGAAAUUGUCAGAUCCUAUUUUAUAAAGUUAUUUUCAAUAGGAAGGCAAAAUAGUUAUGAGAGAAUUUUGACAGGAUUUGAAAGGUGCAUUUAUGAGGAAGACAAUAAUAAAUUGAAGGCAAGAUAUACUAAGGAGGAGAUACUGGAAGCUCUUUCAGAAAUGGGACCUACAAAAGCACCAUGAGAGGAUGGUUUUUCAGCCUUAUUUUAUUAGAAAUGUUGGUCGAUUAUUGGAGAUGACGUCUCUAAUUUUUUCCUUCAAAGAUUAAAUGAAGGUAUAGAAUUACGUUCAAUUAACAAAACAAAUAUUGUGCUAAUCCGAAAAACCUCGAAUCCCUCCAACAUUACUCAAUUUAGACCAAUUAGCUAAAGUCAUUGCUAAUAGACUUCGGGUAGUGAUUCAUAAAUGUAUUGAUUUAGCACAAAGUGCUUUUGUUCUAGGAAGGCUAAUUUAUGAUAAAGUGCUACUAGCUUAUGAAAUUCUACACACUUUAAAACACAAGAGGUUAGGGAAAAAAGGAUUCAUGGCUGUCAAACUGGACAUGAGUAAGGCAUAUGAUAGGGUUGAAUGGGAUUUUGUGAAAGGGGUAACGAAAAAAAUGGGUUUUGAUCCAAAAUAGGUUGAUUUAGUUUUGAAAUGUGUCUAUUCAAUUUCAUACUCUGUGGUUUUCAAUGGAAAAAUUGGACAAAAUUUCCUUCCAUCUAGAGGUCUUAGACAAUGGGAUCCUUUAAGCCCGUUUUUAUUUCUAUUUUGUGGAGAAGGACUCUCGAGUCUAAUGAGGCUAGCAAGAGCAAGAAACAUUCUUAAAGGAGUUAAAGCAAGUCAGAGAGGGCCAACUAUCUCUCAUUUACACUUUGCAGAUGAUUGCAUUUUAUUUGCAGAAGCUACUGAAAUAGGAGUAUAAUCAUUAAAACAGAUACUACUAGAAUAUGAGUUGAGCUCAGGGCAAUGUGUUAAUUAUGAAAAAUCGACUAUUUUCUUUAGUACAAAUACACAAGAGGGUGAAAGGGGUGUAGUUUCACAGAUACUUGGAGUUAGAAGAGCAAAUGAGUUAGAACGAUAUCUAGGGUUUCCUAGUAUGGUGGGAAAAGGAAGAGAUCAUAUCUUCAAAAUUUGAAGGACAGAUUCAAGCAAAGAAUUGACAACUGGAGUAUAAGGUAUCUCUCCCAAUGAGGAAAGGAAGUUUUUAUUAAAGCUAUACUCCAAGUUAUCCCAACUUACUCGAUGGCUUAUUUUUUACUUCUUAAAACUCUUUGUACUGAAUUGGAGAGAAUAGUAGCUAAAUUCUGGUGGCGAAAGAGAUACAAUAAGAAAAUCAUUCAUUGGUGCACUUGGAAGGAUCUAUGCUUAUUAAAAGAAGAUGGUGGCCUUGGUUUUCGUAAUUUUGUAAAGUUUAUGUUGCGUUAUUAGCGAAGUAGGGAUGACGUCUUAUUAAUUAUCCAAAUUCAUUAUUGGCCCGCGUUUUGAAAGCAAAAUAUUUUCCUAAUUCAGAUUUCUACAAGGCUCGGUUGGGAAAUUUACCUUCGCUUACCUGGAAAAGUGUCUGGGCUACGAAAGGGCUUCUUGAAAAAAGACUAUGCUAGAGGGUGGGGAGAGG